rnacentral:lncRNA from 1 species
ACAGGAGAAGAAACGAAGACCUGGAAAGCACUGAUGACUUCAGGUUGCAGCCAGCCAUCAGGGAGCCAGCAAUAGAUGCAAGGAUUGGAGGACUCUGAGAGACGAGCAUGUACAGGAAGCACCCGGGCUGUGCACACACAGGAAAGACCACGUGAGGACCCAGCGAGAAGGCGGCCAUCCCCAAGCCAAGGAGAAAGGCCUCAAGAACAAACAAAUCUGCCAACACCUUGAUUUUGAACUUCC